rnacentral:rRNA from 1 species
AUUGAACACUGGCGGCAUGCCUUACACAUGCAAGUCGAACGGUAACGGGCCUUCGGGCGCCGACGAGUGGCGAACGGGUGAGUAAUGCAUCGGAGCGUACCUUUCAGUGGGGGAUAACGUAGCGAAAGUUACGCUAAUACCGCAUAUUCUGUGAGCAGGAAAGCAGGGGAUCGCAAGACCUUGCGCUGAUUGAGCGGCCGAUGUCAGAUUAGCUAGUUGGUGAGGUAAAGGCUCACCAAGGCGACGAUCUGUAGCGGGUCUGAGAGGAUGAUCCGCCACACUGGAACUGAGGCACGGUCCAGACUCCUACGGGAGGCAGCAGUGGGGAAUUUUGGACAAUGGGGGCAACCCUGAUCCAGCCAUGCCGCGUGAGUGAAGAAGGCCUUCGGGUUGUAAAGCUCUUUCGGUCGGGAAGAAAUCGCAUGGGUUAAUACCCUGUGCGGAUGACGGUACCGGCAUAAGAAGCACCGGCUAACUACGUGCCAGCCGCCGCGGUAACAC